rnacentral:lncRNA from 1 species
UGUAUUUUUACGAUCCACAAACACUGAAUCAGAUUAUUUAUUUUUACACAGUGUAUUGAUUACACACAAAAAAGAGGGACAAAAUUUCAAAGUGUAGAUUUUAUUUUCUACCCACUCCCCUUAAAAAAGGAGGAACCACAUAAUUCAUUGAAAAUAAUAAUAUAUACACACCACCACACACACACUACAUGCACAAACACACGCACAAAUACACAAAUCUCACAUUUCUCUUCUCUUCUCCCCUUACUCUCUCACCGUCGACUGCCGAAAUUGAUCACUGAACGUCGGUUGCCACCACCAACGCCUAACCAUACACCUCCAUCAGCAAAAGCAACCACACCACGACCUUUCACACUCUCUCUCCCUUUCUCUCUGUUUCUUUUUUAUUUUUUAUGCUGCCUUGUCGCCGGAUUUGGCUGCCGGCAGGCGAGUUUCUAGCCACCAAGCGUACCACACGCCGCCCCUCUCUUUCUAUGCAACUACAACACCAUUGCUGUCUCGCUGGAGGUUUGGCAGGCGAGAUCCAGCCGAAAAAAAUUUCGCUGCCACCGCUAUUGUAGCACUUUUUCUCCAUUUUCUUCAAUUAUUGUGAUUAUUAAUUUUAUGUGGCUCUAAAACCUCUACAGAUCUAGCCUUGGUUGCUCGUUCUCUAGCAAGGCUCUAUUGAAACCACUGAACUUUGAUGUCCUCACAUGCCGUUAGUUAAUGCUACUGUUAUCACUGUUUAUGACUAUGAUCAUUGACAUGAUCUUAUUAUUUCUAUCUUUGUCUAUGGCCUGUUUGGAUUUAAUCUUGCAUCUUAUCGGGAAAGUAUGCCUACCUUCGUUUGUCACUGUUGUUAUUGUUGUUGUUGGCUGCUCUGCGGGCUGAUUUCUGGACAUUUUCACCCUCAUAAUGCUUCAUUUUUGAUAUGAUUUACUGAUUUGGAAAAGGAAAAAAUAAUGUACUAUACGGCUAAUGAAAUUAUCUUUCCGUCCGAUAUUUGAGGCCACCCCAAUACAAAAGGCGAAUUUUUACUCUCCAAGUUAUUUAUUUUAUAUCAAAAAUGAACACAUGACCGAUGAAGAAAUUAUCCGUCGAUUUUCGAGGCCUUCACAAAUAAAAAAGACAGAUUUUACAUAUACAAAUACGUAAUAAAAAUAAAUAUUUUUGGGCGAUGACAAAAUCUUUAUAAUAUUUUAAAACUUUAUCUGAGCCCACUUUUUUAACAAAAGAGUUAUAUUUGAAAUACGUAUAUACACACAUACUUUUUAGUUUAGUUUGAUUAUUAUUUAUUUGUUACUAACAUUUUUAUUAGAAGUGUUCAUAAAGGUUAUUGGGA